rnacentral:rRNA from 1 species
CACCUACGGGAGGCAGCAGUCGGGAAUUUUGGGCAAUGGGGGAAACCCUGACCCAGCAACGCCGCGUGAAGGAUGAAGUAUUUCGGUAUGUAAACUUCGAAAGAAUAGGAAGAAUUAAUGACGGUACUAUUUAUAAGGUCCGGCUAACUACGUGCCAGCAGCCGCGGUAAUACGUAGGGACCAAGCGUUGUUCGGAUUUACUGGGCGUAAAGGGCGCGUAGGCGGCAUGGCAAGUCACUUGUGAAAUCUCCGGGCUUAACUCGGAACGGCCAAGUGAUACUGCUGAGCUAGAGUGCAGAAGGGGCAAUCGGAAUUCUUGGUGUAGCGGUGAAAUGCGUAGAUAUCAAGAGGAACACCUGAGGUGAAGACGGGUUGCUGGGCUGACACUGACGCUGAUGCGCGAAAGCUAGGGGAGCAAACGGGAUUAGAUACCCCGGUAGUCCUAGCCCUAAACGAUGAAUACUUGGUGUCUGGAGGUUUAAUACUCCGGGUGCCGUCGCUAACGUUUUUAGU